AGCAUGGAAAAGAAACAAAGAACAACAAAGCAUGCGUGUUAUUGGCUUGUCAAAGGACGCAGACAGUUAACAGGACUAGAAAUGCGACGCAGUGCAGAUCUAAUGCCUUGAUGCCUGACAUUUCCUGAGUUACUGUGCCUUUGAGUCUGUCCUUCCAAGGAAAAAUCCAAAAACCAUGCUUCUUGAAAGACAGUGU